rnacentral:lncRNA from 13 species
CUCUGGUAUCCCCAGUAUACUAGUCAGUAUAUCUGUUGUAUCCCCAGAACACUAGGCAGUAUGUCUGUUGUAUCCUCAGUACACUAUUCAGUAUAUCUCACUGGUAUCCCCAGUACACUAGGCAGUAUAUCUCACUGGUAUCCCCAGUACACUAGGCAGUAUAUAUCUCUGGUAUCCCCAGUAUACUAGUCAGUAUAUCUGUUGUA